GGCAGGUAUGGCGUGCAUCUGCGUUGAGCAUCUGAAAACCGGCUCGAGGCAGAGAUCUACGCCGCACUGCGCGAGUGUGGCAUGGGCCCCGACGAGAUGGUCCGCCAUCUCCUCUCCCAAGGUUCUGCAGCAGCUCAUCCAAGUGGCGCACACCCAAGCCAAGGCAGUGAGCUUCCCCGUCUCCAUCACCGAGCAAGGCUUGCUGCAAUGGCGUCGGUGAUGUGAGCCUUGAAGAUCCUCGUUGCACACAUGGACAGUGG